rnacentral:rRNA from 1 species
ACCCGGCACAAGCGGUGGAUGAUGUGGAUUAAUUCGAUGCAACGCGAAGAACCUUACCUACCCUUGACAUGUCCGGAACUUGCCAGAGAUGGCUUGGUGCCCGAAAGGGAAUCGGAACACAGGUGCUGCAUGGCUGUCGUCAGCUCGUGUCGUGAGAUGUUGGGUUAAGUCCCGCAACGAGCGCAACCCUUAUCAUUAGUUGCUACGCAAGGGCACUCUAAUGAGACUGCCGGUGACAAACCGGAGGAAGGUGGGGAUGACGUCAAGUCCUCAUGGCCCUUAUGGGUAGGGCUUCACACGUCAUACAAUGGUCGGUACAGAGGGUUGCCAAGCCGCGAGGCGGAGCCAAUCCCACAAAGCCGAUCGUAGUCCGGAUUGUUCUCUGCAACUCGAGAGCAUGAAGUCGGAAUCGCUGGUAAUCGCAGGUCAGCAUACUGCGGUGAAUACGUUCCCGGGUCUU